rnacentral:tRNA from 1 species
AGCCCGGUCGUCUAGCGGUCAAGGAUAUUCGGCUCUGGACCGAAUGACGGAGGUUCGAAUCCUCCCCGGGCUA